AGUGAACGCUGGCGGUAGGCCUAACACAUGCAAGUCGAACGGCAGCACAGUAAGAGCUUGCUCUUACGGGUGGCGAGUGGCGGACGGGUGAGGAAUACAUCGGAAUCUACUUUUUCGUGGGGGAUAACCUAGGGAAACUUACGCUAAUACCGCAUACGACCUACGGGUGAAAGCAGGGGAUCUUCGGACCUUGCGCGAUUGAAUGAGCCGAUGUCGGAUUAGCUAGUUGGCGGGGUAAAGGCCCACCAAGGCGACGAUCCGUAGCUGGUCUGAGAGGAUGAUCAGCCACACUGGAACUGAGACACGGUCCAGACUCCUACGGGAGGCAGCAGUGGGGAAUAUUGGACAAUGGGCGCAAGCCUGAUCCAGCCAUACCGCGUGGGUGAAGAAGGCCUUCGGGUUGUAAAGCCCUUUUGUUGGGAAAGAAAAGCAGCAGGUUAAUACCCCGCUGUUCUGACGGUACCCAAAGAAUAAGCACCGGCUAACUUCGU
rnacentral:rRNA from 1 species